GCCGAUCCGGGGUUUGGGGCUUUCGGGAGGACGCGAGGCGCGCCGAGCCAAGCGGUGCGCGUGGCUACGGUUUGAAGCGGGCACCAGACGCGGUGCGCCGUCCGUCCCGUGACGCCGGGAAGUCUGACGUGACACCCCGUCUUCCUCAGCUCCCGGAGUUUGUGGUACUCCUCUGGGCGCUCGGCCCGGGCCCGUCGCACCCCGCUGAGCAGGCGAGCAGGGCUUGGGGCUCUCGGAGUGGGACACAGGCAGAGGAACCCCCAUCCCGCUGCCGUUGCCCAAGGAGACGGUCACCCGGCGGAAAACCCCAAUAUGAGCACACACAUUCACAGCAGCACGGCUGAACAGACCCAGGUUACUCAGUCUUUCCACAUAAGGGAGAUGCUCCAGGACCUUUAUCAUCUUCGUGGCCCUCUGCUGCACUCCUUCUAGGAGAUCCCUGUCUUUUCUGAACUGGACACAAUAUGAAGAUAUUAAAGAGUGUCAGUCCCAGUACUGUAGAGCAUGGUUCCCAACAUGUCCGAUCAAAGGUACAAGACAGCAGCAAUGGUGAGUGGAUAAACCAAUUUUCUGCAGUUUGCACAGACUGGAGGAGGUGAAGAAGGGAGAUUUGCAAAGGAUCUGGUACCUAGAACCUCAGCCCUCCCCUUGGUGAUGGGCACAGGCCAGAAGGCUGGCAGCCGGCGGCCCUUAGUGUAGGGGACGGAACACUGUGAGGGGUUUGCUCUUCCCAGGACACAAGGACAUUAGGUGAUUUGGGGGAAAGAUUCAGGAGAUGGGCAGAAAGCUGCACAAGCUGAAGAAACAGAGGCCUCCCACAGGUCUGGAAUCCAACACAUUCAGCCUGCGGACUGUCCACCUCCAAGAUUAUUUUUCCUUUAUUUUUCUCAUGAAGAGCCCUCUUCGGCCUACUUUUGGCGAGCUGCCAAGUAAUUUGCAUUAAUUUGCCUGACCAGCUGUAGUAACCCGCUUGUCCUCCUGUGGCCCUCAUUACUCACCCUUCUGCUGUGGUCUAAAUGCAGAAAGGGCAGCGGGGUGAGCUCCAGCGAAUUACUGGAGAUGCACCCUUAAUGGCUGUGCCAUGCUGAACCAUUCUCACAGCUGGCUGAUAUCUCACGGAUUAUUCUCCACCUGCCCGCCCUGCUUCUGAGGACACUGAGCUUCCCACAGACUCAUAGCGGUGUUCUUCUUAUCUUUAAGGAUAAAAAUGUGUGGUUUCUCAAGUUCUAAAUGACCAAAAAAGAGUGAAAAAUCUGUAGGAAAUAAGGAUCCCUCUGCUCCUCCAAAUCCUGAUAUCCUCCUUUGAAGUCACUGGCUGAACUUAUUGUUUUGGCAGUAAGAAGUCAACAAAUGAACAGUGAAGCUAUGGAAAAUCCACUUGCUAGUGAGCAGCUUUCCCCAGUGGUGCUGCCUUUUCCAGGACAUGAGCUUAGAAAAAACAUCAUCAAAUCACCCCAAAUCUUUCCUCAUCUAAGUCCCUGCUUUCUGGAGGACGGUGUGCUAAAUGUGAGGGGGAAUUCAAUGAUGUAGUUGGACCACGCUGAGGCAACGUGGUGCAAGGUCAGUGCUGUGUCUCCAGGCUGCAUGGUGCUGUGCAUUUAUUAAGUGCAUGGCACACUGCAUUUGUGAGCAGCGUGCUGGAAUGCAAUGGAAAUAUUUAGUUACUCAGCAAACUGUGGACGACACUGUGGAUCACUUCACCGGAAGCUCUGAAGAUAUUUCCAUCCAGCUCCCCUUUAAUCUGGCCUUUAAAGUCCAUCGUGAGGUCUCCAUCCUACUUCAUCCAGGUCAAAAACACUGGCUGAUUCUAAAAGAUGUUCACUUUCUUUGAGGCUUUCUGAAGCACAGGCUGCAUACACCUUUAAUGCUCGGUGACCUUUGGAAAACAAUAUUUCAUCUCAGCUAUAAACGUGCUGGCAGGAGCAGAGAACUGUGAGCUGUGCUCGGAGCUGACCGGUUGGAUGUGGCCAGCCUGGGGGCAAGGGUGGAGAAACCAGGCAGCGUCUGCCUUCACACAUUGCCUUGGGCAAAGAGGUUGGCAUGGCUCAGCUCCUGCUGCUUUCAUCAUGAGGCAUAUACCUGCAUUGCUCUCACAUAUCGUUGUCUGCACUUUGAUUAUUGCUUAUCAUUGGACCUGUGCAGCCUGCGUGGCCAAAUGGGGGUGUGUUAUCACUUGCUUUAUGAAGAGAUGAAAGUUGAUUUUGUGAAGACCUGACCGUCAGUAAGACACCAUAGACUCUUCAGGCAAACAAAUAGGAUUUCUUGUCAAUUUGCUGUCCUCUAUGGUACUGAAAGGGCACAGAGAUGCAGACUGUCCCUGCUUUUCAGAUGAAUUGCUCCGCUGGUAUAAAAGAUACUCUCAUAAUAGUCCCAAAUUAGCUGAUUGCUUGAAGUGCCAGAAUACUUAAUGCUCUGCUAUUUUAAACAUAUGGAAAUUGAUUCAACACUUAUCAUCUAUUUAGAGAUGUAAAUUUAUUGAAAAAGAUGCCACUUCUUCCUCAGCUCCAGGCAAGCUCCGACGCUUGGUUUUCUGGGCACAGGCAGGUUUUUACAAGGCCCAGUGAUUUUAACUAUGGUGAUUUACAUUCUUUCUAAAGGCAGAAGUAGAGGAAAAUUGACUGUAUUAUCUACAGAGAAAAAAACUUAUCAAUACGGGCACUGGUGUAAACUGACACAGCUAUGGCCGUAUCUGGUACGUUGUAUCCUAAGCACCUUAUACCAGGCACAGACACUGGGCCAGGCUUGGCCACACUCCUCUUGCAGCUGCUCUGGCAGUAGGGCCCGCACUGACAUCAGCAGCGUGGGUUUCUGUCACAGCAGCACUGGGACACGGUCAUAGGAAGUGAUGGAGUGCUAGCAGUGACUGCUGUCACACUGGAUGGGUGAAGGCAUAAAAGGCAUAUAACUAAUGGAGGGCACCCAAAGGAGGCUAUAAAGAUGGGGAAGGGUCUGGAGGGCAAGGCGUGUGAGGAGUGGCUGAAGUCCCUGUGUUUGCUCAGCGCAGAGCCGAGGAGCUGAGGGGAGGCCUCAUGGCGGCUGCGGCUCCUCACAGGGAGCAGAGGGGCAGCGCUGAGCUCUGCUCUGUGUGACAGCGACAGGGCCCGAGGGAACGGCAUGGAGCUGUGUCAGGG
ensembl:lncRNA